rnacentral:rRNA from 1 species
CGUGCAGGCGGUCGGGUAAGUCAGAUGUGAAAGCCUUCUGCUUAACAGAAGAAGUGCAUUUGAAACUGCUCGGCUAGAGUACGGGAGAGGAGAGUGGAAUUCCCGGUGUAGAGGUGAAAUUCGUAGAUAUCGGGAGGAACACCAGUGGCGAAGGCGGCUCUCUGGUCCGAUACUGACGCUGAGACGCGAAAGCGUGGGAGCAAACAGGAUUAGAUACCCUGGUAGCCCACGCCGUAAACGAUGGGCACUAGGUGUAGGAGGUAUUGACCCCUUCUGUGCCGAAGCUAACGCAUUAAGUGCCCCGCCUGGGGAGUACGGCCGCAAAGGACUAAA